rnacentral:rRNA from 1 species
UCCAGACUCCUACGGGAGGCAGCAGUGGGGAAUAUUGCACAAUGGGCGAAAGCCUGAUGCAGCAACGCCGCGUGAAGGAAGAAGGCCUUCGGGUCGUAAACUUCUGUCCUUGGGGAAGAAGAACUGACGGUACCCAAGGAGGAAGCCCCGGCUAACUACGUGCCAGCAGCCGCGGUAAUACGUAGGGGGCAAGCGUUAUCCGGAAUUAUUGGGCGUAAAGAGUACGUAGGUGGCAACCCAAGCGCAGGGUUAAAUCCCCGCGGCCAACGCGGGAACCGCCUUGGAAACUGGCAAACUGGAGUGUGGGAGAGGAUAGUGGAAUUCCAGGUGUAGGAGUGAAAUCCGUAGAUAUCGGGAGGAACAUCAGUGGCGAAGGCGACUAUCUGGAACAUAACUGACGCUGAGGAGCGAAAGCGUGGGUAGCAAACAGGAUUAGAUACCCCAGUA